rnacentral:rRNA from 1 species
CAUUAAAUCAGUUAUGGUUCCUUAGAUCGUUUCUUCCUACUUGGAUAACUGUGGCAAUUCUAGAGCUAAUACAUGCAGUGAGCCUGGAGCCCUUUGGGUAACGGGUGCUUUUAUUAGACCAAGAUCGAUCGGGUUUCGGCCCGUAUUGUGUGGUGACUCUGGAUAACUUUGUGCUGAUCGCAUGGCCACGAGCCGGCGACGUUUCUUUCAAGUGUCUGCCUUAUCAACUUUCGAUGGUAGGUUACUUGCUUACCAUGGUUGUUACGGGUAACGGAGAAUCAGGGUUCGAUUCCGGAGAGGGAGCCUGAGAAACGGCUACCACAUCCAAGGAAGGCAGCAGGCGCGCAAAUUACCCACUCCCGGCACGGGGAGGUAGUGACGAAAAAUAACAAUACGGGACUCUUUUGAGGCCCCGUAAUUGAAAUGAGUACACUCUAAAUCCUUUAACGAGGAUCAAUUGGAGGGCAAGUCUGGUGCCAGCAGCCGCGGUAAUUCCAGCUCCAAUAGCGUAUACUAAAGCUGCUGCGGUUAAAAAGCUCGUAGUUGGAUCUCAGUUCCAGACGAGUAGUGCAUCUACCCGAUGCGACGGCUCGGACUGAACAUCAUGCCGGUUCUUUCUUGGUGCACUUCAUUGUGUGCCUCGAGAUGGCCGGUGCUUUUACUUUGAAAAAAUUAGAGUGCUCAACGCAGGCGAGUCGCCUGAAUAAACUUGCAUGGAAUAAUAGAACAAGACCUCGUUUCUGUUCUGUUGGUUUUUGGAAUACGAGGUAAUGAUUAAGAGGGACGGACGGGGGCAUUCGUAUUGCGGCG